UACGGAAGGGGCAAGCGUUGUUCGGAAUCAUUGGGCGUAAAGGGCGCGUAGGCGGUUUUGUUUGUCCGCUGUAAAAGUCCACGGCUCACCCGUGGAGAGUCGGCGGAAACGGCAAGACUUGAGGCUGGGGGGGGUUGGUGGAAUUCCCUGUGUAGCGGUGAAAUGCGUAGAUACGGGGGAGAACACUCGUGGCGAAGGCGGCCAGCUGGCCCAGUCCUGACGCUGAGGCGCGACAGCGUGGGGAGCAAACAGG
rnacentral:rRNA from 1 species